GCGCUGGUGGUGUAAUGCGUAGCAUCGCUGUUCGGAAAGCAUAAGGUACGGGUUCGAUUCCCGCCUGGCGCA
rnacentral:tRNA from 1 species